rnacentral:rRNA from 1 species
UUCCAGACUCCUACGGGAGGCAGCAGUGGGGAAUAUUGCACAAUGGGGGAAACCCUGAUGCAGCGACGCCGCGUGAGCGAUGAAGUAUUUCGGUAUGUAAAGCUCUAUCAGCAGGGAAGAAAAUGACGGUACCUGACUAAGAAGCCCCGGCUAACUACGUGCCAGCAGCCGCGGUAAUACGUAGGGGGCAAGCGUUAUCCGGAUUUACUGGGUGUAAAGGGAGCGUAGACGGCUGUGCAAGCCAGAUGUGAAAGCCCGGGGCUCAACCCCGGGACUGCAUUUGGAACUGUGUGGCUGGAGUGUCGGAGAGGCAGGCGGAAUUCCUAGUGUAGCGGUGAAAUGCGUAGAUAUUAGGAGGAACACCAGUGGCGAAGGCGGCCUGCUGGACGAUGACUGACGUUGAGGCUCGAAAGCGUGGGGAGCAAACAGGAUUAGAUACCCGCGUA